rnacentral:lncRNA from 1 species
AAUGUCUAAUAUAUUCAGACAAAAGGAAGAAAACUGAGCCUGUGGAGGGUCUGUAGUAUAUAUUUACAUAAAAGGAAGAAAACAAUGAACAACACUUGCAAUACAUCUUGUACCAAGCAAAGAAACAAAAUGUACUAUAAUAGAUGCUUUGAAAUCAGGUGUAUACAGAAAAGAUACAUACACAAGAUUAGUACCGGACCUCUUGUAACUCCAGGUCGUAUGCAACAGAGACAAUCCUAAAUAACAUACAACUAUGAAAUUGUGGCGUUGUUCGGCAAGAAGACAGCUUGUCUUCUAUUGGCAGCUGGGCACCACCCAAACAGACAAGAAUUACAGAGACAAUCCGUUCAGUCAGAGCAACAGAAAAUUGUUCAUGAACAUACAACAGUAUUUCUCUGCAGAGACAUGUACUGAGAGAAAUUAGUGUGAUUUCUUUCAAAUAAACUAACACAAGAAUAGACGCAAUGGCCUCACCUUGCUCGUCGGUGACCCCUCUGCGAAGCUGCCUUCUAUAUUCUGAAAUCCGCAGAAAAAAAAAAUUCAAAAUCAGAGACAUGUUAGAACGAGAUUAUCUCGCGAAAUAUGCACCUAAUCGCCGGCAGCUAAGAUGGCACCGAUAGAGAAAGGGACCUCAUUCCCUUUAUUGGCAAUUUCAGGUCUAGCUCUUUACUUAGCCAAGGUGCAUCUCGUCUUCUCUUUCAUUACCAUUCUCAUUAUCUACUCAUUCUCUUUCAUUAUCCUAAUGUCUGCUUCUUCUUCUCUUCCAUUAUCUUCCUCAUGUUUUAUUUCCUGUUCUUCAGGUUCAGAGUUCACACAUCCUCUUGAUAACUGAAUCAUCAUCUUCUUCUUUUUUAUCAUCCUACAGAAUUAUUAUCUAAUUAAGUACUUGCAGGUUUCAGAACUUAAACGAAUCUAUACCACAGUCAGCACUCAGGAAACAUUUAAUUUUUUACAUGCUGCCAUUAUUAAGGGAUUUUACUAAAUGCACAUGUCAUUAUAACAGUAGUAUACAGUAGCACAAUGCACUGAAAUAAGGGGCACAGAGACGAAAAGAAUUGUUAGCCUCAGCCCUCAGGCUGUCAAGCAUGACUAUAAGUGGGUAAUAGAAACUAUAAGAAGGAUACACGCAUACAGAUGUGUUGUGGAAUUUACAUGACAGCAUAACGGGCACAUAUAGAUCCAUCCCAGGAAUUUCUUCUUCUAUUUACUUCAUCCCCUAAAACAAAGCAGUAUAAACAAAGUACUGAAUUUCCAAAUUAACAACACCAGUAACUUGCUUCUCUCUAUCUCUUCUCCUAAAUCGAUUUAGACAAAGAAAGAAUAACUGGAUAAUAUUCAGAUAGAAACAUUCCUUUAUUAUCUAAGCCACAUAUACAUAAUGUAGAACCAAUGUGUGUUAGAGGGUGAAGAUGGAGAAAGCUCACCGACUGGCGACUGAUAUCACCAAAAGGAGGACCUCCUAUGGUGUAUGGGGCUUACAUCUAAUAUAUCAAGAUCAAAGUCUUCUCACGGUUGUCGGCUACGUGUCUAAGUAGCGGAUGCCACUGCAUAGCCACCAGACGCCUGCCGCUGCAGCACCGAUCCCUUUUCACCAUGUUCACGAGUACCUACCAGCAUCAUACAUACCUUCAUAUCAUAAAGCAAGUACCUGUAGCAACAGUCAUAAUCAUUAAGCAAAUACCAACAUUAACAAGACCAGUAGCACCAUGAACAAAAUCGUAGCAGCCCUACUGCUGCUUUCCUCUAUGAUCUCUUUAUAUAUGCUCAAAUAGUGGUAUAUCAGGGCAGAGCAACAAAAUUAACAACAUUAGAGCAACCUUGACGCACUCACCAGCCAGCCAGCGCCCAUCCCACCGUUCACGCCCUCCUUCCACCGUUCCACGCAACUACUCCCCAACGUCCACGCCUUCUUCCUCUGCCCCAAGAACUCCCGCUCAGCCUCCCGCCCAGCUCAAGCUCCACCGCGUGCAGAGGGAGAGAGGAAAAGGGAGGAGACGGGGGAGCUCCUGCACGCCGCCCUAGCAUUCAAGCGCACGCGCACACGCAUAUAGCACGCGCGCCAUCGAUCCAAUGACACCGUCUCGCAUGCGUUGGCAUGGGGAAUUGGGGGCGUCAGUGCCAUCGUGGGCGGCGGGUCGUUGACCAUGGCGGAGGGGAUGGGCUCGAUCCGGCCUCUCACGUUGGUGUGCUCAUUUGGGUGUCGAGAUUGGGACAGUGUUCGGCUGUGGCAGUGGGAGUGUUCCGCCGGCGGGGGAUAGGAUGGGCUUCGGUGGCUAGAGAUAGGGUGGAAGCACGUGAGGCGCUAGAGAUCUG